UACAGAGGUCUCAAGCGUUGUUCGGAUUCACUGGGCGUAAAGGGUGCGCAGGCGGCCAAGUGUGUGAGGCGUGAAAGCCUGGAGCUUAACUCCAGAAUUGCACCUCAAACUACUUGGCUAGAGCAUUGGAGAGGGUAGCAGAAUUCAUGGUGUAGCAGUGAAAUGCGUAGAUAUCAUGAGGAAUACCAGAGGCGAAGGCGGCUACCUGGACAAUUGCUGACGCUCAGGCACGAAAGCGUGGGGAGCAAAAGGG
rnacentral:rRNA from 1 species